UCUCUAAGUCCCCCAUCAUCAGAAGCCCAUCCCUUCUUCUGUUACUUCUUUCUAUCGCCCAAAUAACUGUACCUCUUUUUUUUUUCCCCCUUUUUUCUUUUCUAAUCCUGAACCACAGUUACCCACCAAACGGCCUCACACAGCUGCAGACACUAUCACCUCGUUCUGAAUUCUUUUAUCUCGCAUUUUACUUGAUUCUUUUUGCUUGCCUUGUGAGAUACAGUAUUUUUGUGUUCUGGAAGAGUAAUUUUGUGUUAAAAUUCCCAUUAUUGUCGUUGCUUGUUCUGUAAUAGCCCAAAUUGGUGGCCGGUAGGCUGUAUUUAAGCCAGCAUAUUUGUUUUACGAAGGAAAAAAAAGAAACAUACUAUUUUUACAUCCUGUUAGUUAUGUCAAAGAUACAGACAGAUAUAUAAGCUUCAUUCCAGCCUUGCGUAUUUAUCUCCCCUACUGCAUAUCUAUUGGAGAAGUGGGUUUCUGAAAUUGUUGGUUUUCGAAUGGGAAAGUGCGGUGUUAUUGUUAUCCCUCUUCUUCUGUUCUUGUGUCCUCUGUUUCAUGGAGGAAUAAGUACUGUAGUUGCCAGAGGCCAGGAAGGAUCAGAGGAAUGGGGAUAUGUUCAAGUCAGACCCAUGUUUUUAUUUGCUCUUGGAUUGAGUUAUGCAGAAGCCCACAUGUUCUGGUGGCUUUACAGAAGUCCCUAUAGAGUUGAGGAUCCCUCCAAACCAUGGCCAAUCAUUCUUUGGUUGCAGGGUGGACCUGGUGCUUCAGGAGUUGGGAUUGGCAAUUUUGAAGAGGUUGGGCCAUUAGAUGCAGAUUUGAAGCCGCGGAAUUCAACAUGGUUGCGAAAAGCUGAUCUUUUGUUUGUGGAUAACCCAGUUGGAACCGGAUACAGUUUUGUGGAGGAUGAAAACCUGUAUGUCAAAACCGAUGAAGAGGCAGCAACUGAUUUAGUCACUUUGUUGGAGAAAAUAUUCAAUAGCAAUGAGAACCUCCAAAAGAGUCCUCUGCACAUUGUGGCAGAGUCUUAUGGUGGAAAAUAUGCUGUCACUCUUGCGCUGUCAGCACUAAAAGCCAUAGAAGCUGGGAAAUUGAAGCUUAAACUGGGAGGAGUGGUAUUAGGGGACAGCUGGAUCUCCCCAGAAGAUUUUGUGUUUUCAUGGGGUCCUCUGCUGAAAGAUCUAUCGCGGCUCGACACUAAUGGGUUGCUGCAAUCAAACAGUCUGGCUCAGAAGAUCAAGCAGCAAAUUGAGCAAGGUCAAUACGUUGGUGCAACCACUUCAUGGAUGGAACUUGAGUCGGUGAUUGGCUCCAGCAGUGAUCAUGUGGACUUCUACAAUUUUCUAUUGGAUUCGGGAUCAUCAGAAGCUGCAUCAAUGACAGCCAUAGAAUUGAAAAAAGGGAUUGCAUUAAAAAGAUAUUCGAGAUAUUUGAGUUCCUUAAGGUCUUCUGCUGGUGGUGGUGGUGGUGAUUUGGAUAGUUUGCUGAAUGGUGCCAUUAAAGAGAAGCUUAAGAUUCCGGAAAAUGUAACGUGGGGAGGGCAGUCAGAUUCUGUUUUCGAUAGUCUGGCAGGGGAUUUCAUGAAACCAAGGAUUAGUGAGGUCGAUGAGCUCCUUGUUAAAGGAGUGAAUGUGACUGUGUACAAUGGGCAACUUGAUCUUAUUUGUGCUACCAAGGGGACAGAAGCCUGGAUUGAGAAGCUCAAGUGGGAAGGGCUACAAAAAUUCUUGAGCACAGACAGAACUCCUCUCUAUUGUGGGAAUAAUGGAAGAACAAAGGGUUUCACCAAGUCAUACAAAAACCUACACUUCUAUUGGAUUCUUGGAGCAGGCCACUUUGCAGUAAUGGUGAGUACUAUUUUAGAUUAGAUAAGAAGUGUCGGCCUUCAGGGGGGACUAGAAAUCGAAAUCAGAGAUUCAGAAAGGCUCAUGACUUUCUCAAAAACAACGUGACUGAAGAGUAGGUACCAAAUGAUCAGCCCUGCGUUGCAAUAAACAUGGUGGGUGCCAUCACCCAGUCCCCAGCGCCUUCUACGUAGAAAUCGAAGAGAAAAAUGCUCUUUAAACAGCUCUUCAAUACGCCAAUGAGAAAGGGUUGUUGGUGAGAUGGUACAGAUAAUGCAGUGUCAACAAGCAUGCCAAUAAGAGAGAGAGAGAGAGAGAGAGAGAGAGAGGUGCAGUAAAUAUAAUGCAACGAUACUCAUAAAUAGUUUCUUCUCUUUUUCUUUUUUUCUCUUUCUUUCUUUUUUUUUUUUUUUUUUUUUUUUUUUUGAGCAAAUGACAGGGUAUAUUGGGAAUAAAUUAAACUAGAUGGGUACACUAUUGGGGGGGCCGGAGAAGUACUGUGUAGGACAAGUUGAUGGGAAUGCUUUUCCACUUCUCGUGGGAAAGAGGAACCCGUUUCGUCAACUCAUGCACUGCACGAUAAAUGCUGCAUGUGUUCUAUUAUUGUUUCACAGCUCCAUUCAUUAUCGCUAUUUGUCUUUGGCUUUAAGCAACUGUUUUACACAAAACAUAAAAAGUAUUUGAUUAAUCAAAUAACAUAAUUCUCUCUUAUACAUA